UCAAACGGUAACAGAGGCGGGGAAACGCCCGAUCCCAUUCCGAACUCGGAAGCUAAGCCCGCCUUCGAUACGUGUGUACUGGCUUCGGCCGGGAAAGCGUAUUGCUGUUUGGC
rnacentral:rRNA from 1 species